UUAAAGUCUUAGGUAUAUUUCGAAACUGCACAUGUAAAAUGUACUUGUGGCUUCAUUACCUUAGAAGUUUUCUUUGAAGAUCUGUAAUUAAGAAAAAAGGUCCUCUAAAAUCAUGCUUAUCUAGUUUCGUCUCACAAUUUUUAUAGCCAUGUUAUCACUUUCCAAAGACUGUUUCAUAAUGGAGAGGCUGACAAAUCUGAUAAUAAACACGAAUCCAAGGGUCUUAAUUGUAGUAUAAGUCUGCAUGUAAGAACUAUGUAUACUAACAGAAUAUUUGGUUCAGUUUCCAGCACUUAAUUUUGCCAAAAUCUGCUUUCACAUUGGGCAACUAACUGUAAAAGAUGAUCAGCUUAAAUGACUCCCUGUUGUUGGUAAGGGUUUCUGUUUAUUUUUAGAUUCCUCAGAAAGCGUAAUUAUGUCCUUCAAAUAUGAUUUCAUUUGGAUCUUUUUAUGACUUACUUGUCUGAAUACCAAUAGUAAUCUGAUAGCUAUGGGGAACUUGGUUUGAAACCAAAAGGCAGUAGAGAGUAUAUAAAUAGAUCGCCUCCAAGCAACAUCUCAGAUGGUGUUCAGAUUCUAAAUGUUCUACAUGUUCAAAUGACUUUCAGAUUUCAAAAACAAAUUACUUUAAUUUUCUAGAAGUAAUGGACACCAUUAGGUCUUUAAAAAAACUGAUUGAAGUUAUUAAAAAGCCAAUAUCUACUCAUAUUUCUAUCCAUGUUGGUUUAGGAGAUAAUAAACAGUAAAACUAUUUUAAUAUAAUGGGUGUUACAUACAAAAACCCUUGUAUUAAAAAUUAGCUGGGCAUGGUGACAUGUGCCUGUAAUCCCAGCUACUUGGGAGGCUGAGGCAGGAGAAUCACUUGAAUCAGGGAGUUGGAGGUGGCAGUGAGCCAAGAUCGCACCACUGUACCCCAGCCUGGCAACAGAGUGAGACGCCAUCUAAAACACACACACACACACACACACACACACACACACACACACACAACUCUUGUAUUACAGGUACACUGAUUUUAUGGAUCUAACAUGAGGAAAACUAAAGUUAAAAUAAUGUGUAGAAAAGUCAAGGGUCAGAAUAUGGAGGUAUUCUCUAUUUAAGUUCAGGAUGUGGAUCAUUUUGUCUUAUCUCUAUUGAUAUUUGAUGAAGGGAAUAAGUCAAUCCCUUUAUAUGUGUCUCUGAUCCUUACCUGGCUUCAAAUUACUCUGACUAAAAUUAUUUUGAAAAUAUCUUAAAAGACUGCAUUUGAGACAGUUCCUAAACAUGUAAAACUUACAAAUACAAAGCAUUUAUAAACUGUUAAAAAUUUUUUUAUAGAAGGAUGGAUAUAAUUCCUCUAGUGAUAACAAGAAAAUAACUUUCAUUUAGAAGUUUUUAAGAUAUUAUUUACUAUGUUGAAGAGGUAUUCACUAGAGGAAUAUUAUUUGCCUACUAGGAAUAAAAUAUAUUAGAAUAUGAGGGGGAAGACUAAGGACAAUGUGUGGCUGUAUUUACUCCUCAGGAUCCAGCAAUGUUGAUGGUCCCUGGCUACACAGUUUUGCUUUAUUUCUGGUUUUCAAAACUUGUUCUUUAAAAAACAUAUUAAGAAUUCCUAGAUUGGAACUACUUUUCUUUCCUUUUACUUAUUUAACACUUUCAGAUGAUUUUUUUUUAAGAAUGAUGUUUAAUUUCUAGGAGAACUUGCACUGUUAGAAGAAUAAGAAAAAACAUUAACAGAAGUAGGCUUCAGAAGGUGGAUGAUAAGAAACUUCUGGGAGUUAAAAGAACUUGUUCUAACCCAAUGUAAAGAAACUAAGAACUUUGAAAAAAGGCUUGAUGAAAUGCUAACAAGAAUAGACAAUAUAGAGAGGAAUAUAAAUGAACUAAUGGAGUUGAAAAACACAACACAAAAACUUAGCAAAAUAUGCACAAGUUUGAAUAGACAAAUUGAUCAAGCAGAAGAAAGGAUAUCAGAGGUUGAAGACCUACUUAAUGAAAUAAAAUGAGAAGACAAGAAUAGAGAAAAAAGGAUAAUUUACAUUUGAUAGGUGUACCUGAAUACAACAAAGAGAAUGAAUCCAAGCUGGAAAAUACUCUUCAGGAUAUUAUUCAGGAAAACUUUCCCAAUCUAGCAAAGCAGGACAAUAUUCAACCCAGGUAAUACAGAGAACACCACAAAGAUAUUCCUCAAGAAGAGCAACCCCCAGGCACAUAAUCAUUAGAUAUACCAGGGCUGAAACAAAGGAGAAAAUACUAAGGGCAGCCAGAGAGAAAGGUCAGGUUACCCACAAAGGGAAGCCUAUCAGACUUACAGCAGAUUUCUCAGCAGAAACUCUACAAGCCAGAAGAGAGUAGAGGCCGAUAUUCAACAUCCUUAAAGAACAGAACUUUCAGCCCAGAAUUUCAUAUCCCACCAAACUAAGCUUCACAAUUGAAGGAAAAAUAAAAUCUUUUAUGAACAAGCAAGUACUCAGAAAUUUUAUUACCACCAGGCCUGCUUUACAAGAGCUUCUUAAAGAAGCAUUACACAUAGAAAGAAACAACCAGUAUUAGCCUUUCCAAAAAUAUACCAAAAAGUAAAGAGCAUCAACAUAAAGAAGAAUUUACAUCAACGAAUGGAUAAAAUAGCCAGUUAACAUCAAGUAGCAGUAACACUAAAUUUAAAUCGACUAAAUCCCCCAAUCAAAAGAUACAGCCAAAACCUAAUGGUAUGCUACAUCCAAACCCAUUUCACAUCCAAAGAUACAUGAAGACUCAAAACAAAGGGAUGGAGAAAGAUUUACCAACCAAAUGGAGAGCAAAAAUAAAUAAAUAAAUAAAAAGCAGGAGGUGCAAUUCUCGCAUCUGAUAAAAUAGAUUUCAAAGCAACAAAGAUAUAGUGGUAAAAGGAUCAAUGCAACAAUAAGAGCUAACGAUCCUAACACCUAGAUACAUAAGAUCCAUAAAGAGAUCUAGACUCAACGAGACAGAAAAUUAAUAAGGAUAUCCAGGACUUGAACUCAGAUCCAGAACAAGUAAACUCAAUAAAUAUUUAUAGAGCUCUCCAUUAUUUAAAAUGGAGUGUAUUUAAACACAAAAUAUACAUUCUCCACCUUAAAUACACAAAAUAUUGAUUGGCCAUUAUUAAUACCCAUUUUUAGAAUAAAGCUACAUUCCCGUUCCCCCUCCCUCUUUUUCUUCCUCUUUCUUCCUCUCCCUCCUUUUUUUUUCUUUCUUUCCAAAAAAAAAAAAAAAAGAAAAGGAAAAACAACACUCUGUGGGUUUUGUUGUUGUUUGGUGUUAGCUGCUUAUAUUUUUUUAUUUUACCUGUUUAUCCUAAUGUUCUUUCUUAUGGUAGAAUUGGAAAAAUUAUUCGUGGAAAGACACAGCAAAAGUAAAAAAAAACAUUUUGGGAGCAGUGGCUCAUUUCAGAACCAACCCAGGUCCUAUGGAAAGGAAAACUAACAAAAGUUUUAAAUGUUCAAAGUACUAAUGAUGGGGCUUGGAAACAGGCAAAUUCCUGCAAUGCUAGAGGAUGGGAGAGUGAACUGGCAGAACCCACCAAAAAGGGAAUCUGGCCAUUUGUAUCCACAAACUUAAAUCCAGAAAAUUCACUUCUAGGCAUCAAAUAUUAGGAAAUAGUAAUAGACAGAGAAGACAUUUACAAGAAUGCUCUUAGCAGCAUCAUUUAUUUUUUUAAAAAAGGAAAUAGCUAUCUGUAAAGGGCUGAUGUUGUGAUACAUGGAUAUGACAAUAAGAUAUGGUGAUCAAAACCACAUUUGAAUAAUAUUUCAAGUUAAGGGAAAACAAUUGCACCUUCUAGAAUGUCAAGUGAAAAAAUAUCAGUAUCCCAAAGUAUCUUGAAUUAGUUAAAUAUAUUGAAUUUAUAACUGCAUAGGGGGGAGAAAGACUGGAAAGAAAUAGAUGAAAAUGCUAACAAUAUGGUAAUGUGGGGUGAUUCGGUUUUUUUCUUUUUUGAACUUUUGUUUUCCAGACUUUCUAGAAGUAUAUAUUACCUAUUAAUGAAAUGAAUUCUAUUUCUGAAAGCAUGAUUAAGUGAAUUAGGUGUUCUCACAGGCGCCUGCCUAUUCCUGUGCAUAAAGAGGGGCAAAAUAAAGUGUUGGAAUAAUCACUGGGGAUUAUCCUUUAGGAUUACUAAAUUUACGUUUGGGGGGAAUUAUUCAAUCAGGUUCCUCUCCUCAGGUACUCCCUCCUUUCUAAAAGACCCCAGUUCUGGCACAUCACCUAGAAGGAAGAUUCCUGGAAUAGAGUGGGGUCCAAACUGGAGGCAGCCUCUCAGCAUGGACCCGCUUCAACUUCUGCGUGGCAGCCGUUUUGCAAGGCGUCUGAACGCGUCUCCUCUUUGGACUUUUUGUCUCUCCUGGUAGUCUCUAGAAGCCAUAAGAGUGAAAGACAUCUUUCCUCCCUAGUGCUAAAAAUGUCAAAGUGCGCGCUCAGGCGGCACUGCUCCUAGAAAGAUCCAAGCCCCUUCACACCCCUAACCCCUGGCCUGGGUAGAGUUGGUAGCGCCGGCUGUCGGCUAAGCCAUAGGGCGCCCAAGGCCCGCUGCAGGCCCAGAAGUGACCCAAGUGCACUCGUCCCUUACUCUGGCUGGGGCCUGAAGGCACUGGAACCGGAAGCUGACGCUGCACUUAAGAUGCAAAGCGUAGAAUGGCACUCUGGCUAAGACACUGACUCCACACCACUGUGGCCCUGGGACAGGGAGCUAUGGUCCCUCUGGGAUCAACUAGGUGGAAAGAGAGAGAGAGAAAGAAAGAGAGGGCUGGCGCAGGGGAGAGAGAAAGGUAGGGGAGGAAGAGGCAAAGGAAGACAGGAAGGAUGUCCCUUCGCAGAGGUCGCACUUUGUCAGCAGUUCCCCUCGACUGCUCUGCCUUCCAUUUUCCCUUCUCUCAGUUCCUGGACACGCCUCGGAGGACCAGAGAGAUGAUCCUGAGCCCCUCGGGGCGUCUGCUCCAGAUCCUCCACGCAGGCGCCCGCUGGAGCGCCUGCCGGGGAUGGCGUGGCACCGACUCUUGAAGCUUUUUAAAAAGGCAUCGCAAACAGCUCUCCUGCCACGUUACAAACCCUGACUUCGAAAGUCUGUUUGGAGGCAAUCAGCUUAACAAUUGAGAUACUUGACUUUCCUUUCCUUACUUUACCUCCUAGUCAUGUAAAAUAGAGGAUUUUAUUCCAAGAGGAAAAGUUAUAAUGGCAAUAAAAUGAGAAAUUUAAGCUCAG